rnacentral:rRNA from 1 species
CCCUUAGAUGUUCUGGGCUGCACGCGCGCUACACUGAAGCUAUCAACACGUUUUCCCUCCCUGAGAAGGGCGGGUAACCUUUUGAAUCAGCUUCGUGGUAGGGAUCGGGGCUUGCAAUUGUUCCCCGUGAACCAGGAAUUCCUAGUAGACGCGAGUCAUAAGCUCGCAUCGAUUAAGUCCCUGCCCUUUGUACACACCGCCCGUCGCUACUACCGAUUGAACGUUUUAGUGAGGCAUUUGGACCGACGCAUCUCUGUUUAACCGCUGGUUUGUGUUGGAAAGACUUCCAAACUUGAGCGUUUAGAGGAAGUAAAAGUCGUAACA